GACGAACGCUGGCGGCGUGCCUAAUACAUGCAAGUCGAGCGGAAGUUGGAGAGCUUGCUCUUCAACUUUAGCGGCGGACGGGUGAGUAACACGUGGGCAACCUGCCCUGCAGAUCGGGAUAACUCCGGGAAACCGGUGCUAAUACCGAAUAGUUUUCGCCACCUCCUGGUGGCGUACGGAAAGACGGUUUCGGCUGUCACUGCAGGAUGGGCCCGCGGCGCAUUAGCUAGUUGGGGGGGUAACGGCCCACCAAGGCGACGAGGCGUAGCCGACCUGAGAGGGUGAUCGGCCACACUGGGACUGAGACACGGCCCAGACUCCUACGGGAGGCAGCAGUAGGGAAUCUUCCGCAAUGGACGAAAGUCUGACGGAGCAACGCCGCGUGAGUGACGAAGGUUUUCGGAUCGUAAAACUCUGUUGUGAGGGAAGAACAAGUACCAACUAACUACUGGUACCUUGACGGUACCUCACCAGGAAGCCACGGCUAACUACGUGCCAGCCGCCGCGGUAA
rnacentral:rRNA from 1 species